rnacentral:rRNA from 1 species
GCAUGGUUGUCGUCAGCUCGUGUCGUGAGAUGUUGGGUUAAGUCCCGCAACGAGCGCAACCCUUAAGCUUAGUUGCCAUCAUUAAGUUGGGCACUCUAAGUUGACUGCCGGUGACAAACCGGAGGAAGGUGGGGAUGACGUCAAAUCAUCAUGCCCCUUAUGAUUUGGGCUACACACGUGCUACAAUGGACAAUACAAAGGGCAGCGAAACCGCGAGGUCAAGCAAAUCCCAUAAAGUUGUUCUCAGUUCGGAUUGUAGUCUGCAACUCGACUACAUGAAGCUGGAAUCGCUAGUAAUCGUAGAUCAGCAUGCUACGGUGAAUACGUUCCCGGGUCUUGUACACACCGCCCGUCACACCACGAGAGUUUGUAACACCCGAAGCCGGUGGAGUAACCUUUUAGGAGCUAGCCGUCGAAGGUGGGACAAAUGAUUGGGGUGAAGUCGUAACAAGGUAGCCGUAUCGGAAGGUGCGGCUGGAUCACCUCCUUU